rnacentral:rRNA from 1 species
GACAGAGGGGGCAAGCGUUGCUCGGAAUUACUGGGCGUAAAGGGUUUGUAGGUGGCCUGCUAAGUCAGACGUGAAAUCCCUCAGCUUAACUGGGGAACUGCGUCUGAUACUGGCGGGCUUGAGGACAGGAGAGGAACGCGGAAUUCCAGGUGUAGCGGUGAAAUGCGUAGAUAUCUGGAGGAACACCGGUGGCGAAGGCGGCGUUCUGGACUGUUUCUGACACUGAAAAACGAAAGCCAGGGGAGCAAACGGG